GAGCCUCAAUUGUUGAAAGAGCCAUCAUUUUCAACUGCAUUAAGCAGUACGAAAGACGAUGGAAAUGAAGAGGAAACAAAUAUUGAUGAGCUCGAUAUGAGCGAAACCUUUUGUGAAUACGGAGAAGGAGGAGGAGGUGAUGAAGAGGAGGCUACAAAUAAUAAAACGGUCGAUAUGAUCGAAACAUUUUGUGAAUACGAUUUGGAAGAAAUGCAAGAUAAGUUAGAUAAACUUAU